rnacentral:rRNA from 1 species
AACGAACGCUGGCGACGUGCUUAACACGUGCAAGUCGAACGCGAAAUUUUUCUUCGGAAAGAAAGUAGAGUGGCGCACGGGUGAGUAACGCGUAAGUAAUCUACCCUGGCAUCUGGAAUAACUCACCGAAAGGUGUGCUAAUACCGGAGACGUUGAGAGAUCAAGAAAGGUGGCCUCUGCAUAUGCUACUGUCCUGGGAUGAGCUUGCGUACCAUUAGCUAGUUGGUAGGGUAAUGGCCUACCAAGGCGACGAUGGUUAGCGGGUCUGAGAGGAUGAUCCGCCACACUGGAACUGGAACACGGACCAGACUCCUACGGGAGGCAGCAGUGAGGAAUAUUGCGCAAUGGGGGCAACCCUGACGCAGCGACGCCGCGUGGAUGAUGAAGGCCUUCGGGUCGUAAAAUCCUGUCAAGUGGAAAGAAGUGCAUGGUGGCUAAUAUCCAUCAUGUUUGACGGUACCACUGAAGGAAGCACCGGCUAACUCCGUGCCAGCCGCCGCAGUAAGAC